ncrna:unclassified sequences RAGATH-18 RNA
CCUUUGGAGCGUUAUAGAAAACAAGAGUAGUUAGUUAAACGAUGAAAUUGGACGCAAUGAAUAAGGAA